GUAACAACAACAAUAAUAAUAAUAAUAAUGGAUGACUUCGCGUUUGUACAGCUGCUGCUUCUCGGCGCUUAAAAAUGGCGAUCUUUCAUGGUCUUGUUAUUGUUGUUGGUCUUAACAACUCCGCCCCCCCGCUGACGUAAGCGGUUCUUUCCUCUGGCCCAGCAGAGAGUUGGUGCGAGCCUGGAACCGGCUUGGACUGAUAAAAGAAACAGACUCUCUGUUGCAGUGGUGAAGGCUGAGCUUCAAGUCAGGCUAAACUUUCAGUUGUCCUGUACUGAGUUCAAGACAUUCAUUGAAAAUCAGCCAGGACUCACAGCAGCAGCAAAGAAAAACACCAAAUAUAAAUGGAAGAUUAGCCAAGAGCAGCAGAGGCACAGGCAAGCACAAGCAAAGCACACACCACACUCUAAGCAAUCAGGUGUCCACAACCAAAAACUGUUGGAAAUAAACCAAAAUACUGAAGACCUAGCCUAGUAAACUAGACCCACCCGCCUAGCGGCCAAAAAUAUUUUUGCCUAGCGAAUGGGUCUAGCCUCGCACCAUGUAAACAAAAACACUCCGGGCAUCAAAUCGUGCCCGCCAAUCACAACGCAAGGUUUUUGUUUGGAUUCUUUGGGCGGCCUUUUGCAGGAGUGACGACAAAGCUGCGCGACGCUGGAGAAAGCGCAGCAGGAAAGAUGGCUACGGCUAGUGAACAGCGCGUUUGACUCCGCUUUGGAAUCAGUUUUAGAAGAAUUAGACUUGGAGUUUUCGUUGAAACAUGAGCAGGAAGAGGCUCUCCGCUCAUUCCUUUUCAAGAAGGACGUUUUCGCUGUUUUGCCGACCGGCUAUGGCAAAAGUCUGAUCUACCAGCUGGCUCCGCUCGUAGCCAAAAGGAUGGGGCUAGUUUGUGCAGUACGAAGAAUUAAUAAACAGCUUUGAAACAUUACUUUUUGAUUGUUUCUUAUUUUCCCGUUAUUUUAAAUUUAAGGGAAAUUAUUUCACCAAACACCACUAAAUAAAAACUCUCAAAAACAGUUUAAGCAAACCCUUGAAAAACACUUGGGGAAAAAAAAUGAGUGUAUGUUAUGUAUGUGGUACAGACUCCAAACUUGUGGUCAUUAUCUCCAAACUUCUU